GAAUGGGAGAUGCAAACACCCUAUGACAAUACCUUUAGCUGCAGUGACACCGAAUUCCCCCAUUUGCAUUCUAUCAUUCUUAUCUGCUGCGUGGGAUCCUAGUGAAAUCUCUAAUCGGCUUUUGCAGCAACCUAAUGCACGUGCUGGUAUCGCCUGGCCCUGUUCAUGCUGCUCAUGGGAACUGGAUCUUUGAGGAACCGCACAAGAAAAAUGAUGAUAUCAAGCAACUACAAUUUCUGCUCAGAGCUGGGCCACGGCAGGCGGGGAACCUUGGCUUCCUUCAUCACUGGAGCAA